UACGUAGGGUGCAAGCGUUAAUCGGAAUUACUGGGCGUAAAGCGUGCGCAGGCGGUUUUGUAAGUCUGACGUGAAAUCCCCCGGGCUUAACCUGGGAAUUGCGUUGGAGACUGCAAGGCUGGAGUCUGGCAGAGGGGGGGUAGAAUUCCACGUGUAGCAGUGAAAUGCGUAGAGAUGUGGAGGAACACCGAUGGCGAAGGCAGCCCCCCUGGGUCAAGACUGACGCUCAUGCACGAAAAGCGUGGGGGAGCAAACAGG
rnacentral:rRNA from 1 species